AAAAUACAGUUUUGAGUCUGGUCGGAGCACUGGUGAUCGUCGCGGUCGCAACGGCGGUUUACAUAAGGAAAGAAAAGCGGAAAAACGCGGAGCGUAUACUGUACGAUUCGUGGUGGCAGUUGGCCCUUGACAGCAUUCCCGGUGCGAAGCGCUACCAAUCGUCUGUCUCGACAUUUUUUGCUCCUCGCCCAAGCAAAGCUCCACACCGCGACUCCUUGAUGCCGACAGAAGAAGCGAUGUCUAGUACUACGCAGCCGUCGUUUAAAGUAAGAUUAUUCGCAAAUUCCAUUGUUGGGAGAAUUAGGGCCUUUGUUUUUUCAGGGCUUCCACCCAACAUUCGCUGUUCACCGGGGCAAACCCGUCCGGUCAGUAAAGUUGUGUCAACGCGAAUACGCCAUAACGUUCCUGGAAAUGUCCACACAUCGGAGUCUGUUGGUACUCCUACGGAAGUUCUACGGAUUAGAGCAUCAAAAUCUUUGCCGGUUUCUGGGAUUAGCCAUCAU